rnacentral:rRNA from 1 species
UACGUAGGGGGCAAGCGUUGUCCGGAUUUACUGGGCGUAAAGAGCGCGUAGGCGGAAGCUUAAGUGUGGCCUGAAAGCCCCCGGCUCAACCGGGGAGGGUGGCUGCAAACUGGGCUUCUUGAGGUCGAUAGAGGAGAGCGGAAUUCCUGGUGUAGCGGUGAAAUGCGUAGAUAUCUGGAGGAACACCGGUGGCGAAGGCGGCAUCCUGGACCGGUAUUGACGCUGAGGCGCGAAAGCUAGGGGAGCAAACGGG